rnacentral:rRNA from 1 species
CCUACGGGGGGCCGCAGUGGGGAAUAUUGGGCAAUGGGCGCAAGCCUGACCCAGCAACGCCGCGUGAAGGAAGAAGGCUUUCGGGUUGUAAACUUCUUUUGUCAGGGACGAAGCAAGUGACGGUACCUCACGAAUAAGCCACGGCUAACUACGUGCCAGCAGCCGCGGUAAUACGUAGGUGGCAAGCGUUAUCCGGAUUUAUUGGGUGUAAAGGGCGUGUAGGCGGGAAUGCAAGUCAGAUGUGAAAACUAUGGGCUCAACCCAUAGCCUGCAUUUGAAACUGUAUUUCUUGAGUGCUGGAGAGGCAAUCGGAAUUCGGGGUGUAGCGGUGAAAUGCGUAGAUAGAAGGAGGAACACCAGUGGCGAAGGCGGAUUGCUGGACAGUAACUGACGCUGAGGCGCGAAAGCGUGGGGAGCAAACAGGAUUAGAUACCCGGGUAGGC